rnacentral:rRNA from 1 species
CCAGAGAACUUAGCAGAGAUGCUUUGGUGCCUUCGGGAACUCUGAGACAGGUGCUGCAUGGCUGUCGUCAGCUCGUGUUGUGAAAUGUUGGGUUAAGUCCCGCAACGAGCGCAACCCUUAUCCUUUGUUGCCAGCGGCUCGGCCGGGAAACUCAAAGGAGACUGCCGGUGAUAAACCGGAGGAAGGUGGGGAUGACGUCAAGUCAUCAUGGCCCUUACGGCCAGGGCUACACACGUGCUACAAUGGCGCAUACAAAGAGAAGCGACCUCGCGAGAGCAAGCGGACCUCAUAAAGUGCGUCGUAGUCCGGAUUGGAGUCUGCAACUCGACUCCAUGAAGUCGGAAUCGCUAGUAAUCGUAGAUCAGAAUGCUACGGUGAAUACGUUCCCGGGCCUUGUACACACCGCCCGUCACACCAUGGGAGUGGGUUGCAAAAGAAGUAGGUAGCUUAACCUUCGGGAGGGCGCUUACCACUUUGUGAUUCAUGACUGGGGUGAAGUCGUAACAAGGUAAGCGUAGCGAG